AGCGAAGAUGUUGAGCCGCUGUUA
rnacentral:siRNA from 1 species